GGAAAACUUUGCACCAUACCAGAAU
rnacentral:piRNA from 1 species